GAUGAACGCUGGCGGCGUGCCUAAUACAUGCAAGUCGAGCGAACAGACGAGGAGCUUGCUCCUCUGACGUUAGCGGCGUACGGGUGAGUAACACGUGGAUAACCUACCUAUAAGACUGGGAUAACUUCGGGAAACCGGAGCUAAUACCGGAUAAUAUAUUGAACCGCAUGGUUCAAUAGUUAAAGACGGUUUUGCUGUCACUUCUAGAUGGAUCCGCGCCGCAUUAGCUAGUUGGUAAGGUAACGGCUUACCAAGGCAACGAUGCGUAGCCGACCUGAGAGGGUGAUCGGCCACACUGGAACUGAGACACGGUCCAGACUCCUACGGGAGGCAGCAGUAGGGAAUCUUCCGCAAAGGGCGAAAGCCUGACGGAGCAACGCCGCGUGAGUGAUGAAGGUCUUCGGAUCGUAAAACUCUGUUAUUAGGGAAGAACAAAUGUGUAAGUAACUAUGCACGUCUUGACGGUACCUAAUCAGAAAGCCACGGCUAACUACGUG
rnacentral:rRNA from 1 species